ensembl:snRNA U6 U6 spliceosomal RNA
GUGCCCGUUUUUGCAGCACAUAUGCUAAAAUUGAAAUAAUACAGAGAAUAAUACAGAGAAGAUUAGUAUGGUUUCUGGGCAAGAAUGACACGUAAAAUGUAACCAGGGUUCUUUACAGAUUUUU